rnacentral:rRNA from 1 species
GACGAACGCUGGCGGCGUGCUUAACACAUGCAAGUCGAACGAAGUGGCGAACGGGUGAGUAACGCGUAAUCAACCUGCCCUUCAGAGGGGGUCAACAGUUGGAACCGACUGCUAAUACCGCAUACUGAAGGAGGGGAUUGCGUCUGAUUAGCUCGUUGGAGGGGUACCGGCCCACCAGGGGGAUGAUCAGUAGCCGGCGUGAAGGGAUGAACGGCAACAUUGGGACUGAGACACGGCCCAGACGCCUACGGGAGGCAGCAGGGGGGAAUCUGCCGAAAUGGACGAAAGUCUGACGGAGCAACGCCGCGGGAGUGAUGACGGCCUUCGGGUUGUAAAGCUCUGUUAAUCGGGACGCGGUACCGGAAUAGAAAGCCACGGCUAACUACGUGCCAACCGCCGCGGUAAUUC